GGGACCUAAGGCGAGGCCGACAGGCGUAGUCGAUGGACAUCCGGUUGAUAUUCCGGAACCGGCGAAGAACCGCCCAUGACGAACCUAGUGAUGCUAAACGCCCAAAGCUGUUGUCCAAGACCUUCGGGUUGAGGGUUUCAGUGGAGCGCGUGACCCGAUCUAGUAGUAGUCAAGCGAUGGAGAGACGCAGGAAGGUAGCCUCCGCGUGGCGAUGGUAGUCCACGUCCAAGGGUGUAGGGCGAGCUGUAGGCAAAUCCGCAGCUCACAUAGCCUGAGACCUGAUAGUGACCGCGUAUGCGGGAAGCAGGGUGAUCCUAUGCUGCCAAGAAAAUCUUCUAGCGAGGUUCGAGCCGCCCGUACCCCAAACCGACUCAGGUGGUUAGGUAGAGAAUACCAAGGCGAUCGAGUGAAUCGUGGUUAAGGAAUUCGGCAAAAUACCCCCGUAACUUCGGGAGAAGGGGGGCCCAGAGGGUGAAGGCACUUGCUGCCUAGCCUGAACGGCCGCAGAGACCAGGGAGAAGCGACUGUUUACUAAAAACACAGGUCCGUGCGAAGUCGCAAGACGAUGUAUACGGACUGACGCCUGCCCGGUGCUGGAAGGUUAAGAGGACCGGUUAGUUCUUCGGAGCGAAGCUGAGAAUUUAAGCCCCAGUAAACGGCGGUGGUAACUAUAACC
rnacentral:rRNA from 1 species